rnacentral:rRNA from 1 species
CACGAAGCUUAUUGAGCUAGCUGUUAUAUGGGAUUUGACAGAAGUAUGUAGUAUAAUAUUUAAUUAGUGGCAGCUAGGGGUGAAAGGCUUAUCAAAUUGAGUGAUAACUUGUUUCUUUUGAAAUAUAUUAAGUAUAAAGACAGACUUAAGGUUAUAAGAUCUUAAGUAAGAAUAAAAGUAUAUAAUAAAUUAUGUGUAAGGUUUAACGAUUAAUAUGGAAUAAUAUGAGUAUUUAAUUAUGAAGAGUGUUGUUAUUAAAAAGAAAUAGAAUAAUUUAAGGUACUAUUUAUUAUGUUAAUAUGAGUAUUUUAUAAGGUAAAAGUAAUAAACUUGGCAAAUCAACCUUCAACUGUUUAUCAAAAACAUAGCCUGCUGUUUAAUAUAGUUGGUAAUUUCUGCUCAGUGAUAAUUUAAACAGCCGCAGUACCCUGACUGUGCAAAGGUAGCGCAAUCAAUUGACUUUUAAUUGGAGUCCUGUAUGAAGAAUACAUGGGGGUUAACUGUAUCAUUUUUAUAUUUAAAAAUUACUUAAUAGGUGCAAAAACCUAUAUAGAAAUAAUAGACGAGAAGACCCUAGAAAUUUUAAGAAUUGUGUUUAAGAAACUUUUUGUUGGGGCAACAAAGUAAAUAAUAACUUACAGAAGUGACAUGAAAUUGUAUAGAAUGAUAAAAUUACUCUAGGGAUAACAGCAUAAUUUAUAAAAGUUUGUGACCUCGAUGUUGGACUAGGAAAUUAGCGUUUAGAA